rnacentral:lncRNA from 1 species
GGCAGGCUCGUAAAAGCAUUGCAGGAUGAAGAUCUAUCCCAUCACUGAAUCCAACACUCUUCCCCCGGAUCAAAAUGACCAUGAAACAAGCGUUUCAGUCAGUUCAGGACAUGGAGGUGGCCCAGUUCAGGACACGGGGUGGCCCAACAACACGCAACUCAAGGCGCUCACAAAAGGAAGGACGUCUUCCAAAACUGCUUCAGAAAGUGACAAGGACCUUGAGCUCCUGGCAGGAGACCCGCCUAGGAAACCUCUCCUCUACAAGAUGUUCCAGGGACCACAUACCUGCCUUGCCCAACACGCAUAGCAGAUGAGUAAUGACUGCGUUUAUAGAUUUUGUGGUGCCCCAGCUGU